rnacentral:lncRNA from 1 species
AUGAGGGGAGCGGGGCGAAGCUGGGGGGACAGCGGGAGCCUCGGCGGGCGGCAGAGGGCGCCCCGAAUUCCGCCAGAGAGGGGCCGGGAGGAGCCUCCGGCUCGGCUCGGCCGAGGAGGGAGGGAGGAAAGGAGGAGAAGGAGGAGGAGGAGGAGGAGGAGGGAGCUGCCACGUCCUCUGCGCCGAGCGGCGCCAGCCCCGCGCCUCACUCAGCCCCACGUGUGGCGGAGCGGGGGAAGUUGCGGCGGGGAGCCCGGACUCUGCCCCUCGCUGGCCGCCUGUCCCUGCUCUCAGGAGGGCGCAGCUCCGAGAACUGACACGUGCUAUUUGGAAGUGCCCUCACAUUAAAUUUGGGGGCCUCUGAAUCUGCCUUUGGCUCUGCAGCUCUCGUACCGAGGCAGCGCAGCUUUUACCUUGAGGACCAGCCCGUGUGGAGCAGCUGGCAGAGACAGUCCAGCAUGUAUCUAGUCAGCCCUGGAACCUUACGUAAGCUGUUCUCCAUCC